rnacentral:lncRNA from 1 species
GGGUCACAAGGGAAAGUGGACAAAUGCAAAUACUCUGCUUUGCAGGUGAAUGUCCUUGGUGCAUGAAGGUGUUUUAAAUUAAAUAAAGAUGCACGACUUCAUCCAUUCAGGAAGUUGAAAGAGAGAGAGAAGAGGCAUAAGGAUGAGGUGGCCUGGCAGGCGGUAAAGGACGGAAGGAUUUUCCACCUGUGGCCCAGGGCCAGCCAGCGACAUCUGCCACGUUCAGGAGCACAGACACACAGAGAAGUACCAGGCAGGACACACAGCAUGUCCUGCGAGUUGCGAGUGCUUUGGUGCAGCCUGUGCCGCUCCUUACUCCCUGGUGGAUCAGGAAGGUCUCAGAUGGCAGAUUGCCUGGUGUGCGAUGGGACAGACAGGGCCGUGGUAGAAGUAACUUUCUGAUUCUGCAAUGACUGGCAGAGUUUCCUCUUCUGACCUACGUGUUGACUUAAGAAAUUUCAUUCUGUGUCUACAAUUUGUCUGAAAAAUAUUCUUACGGUUUCGAUUUAUUUCAUAGAAGAGCUGAAGGGGGACGUGGGAAGCUGUGUGGCUGGGUCUGGGAGGAACACACCUUGCUUCAGUCUACUCUAUUUUCUUUUUUCCUGAAAAAGCAUUAAGCCCUGCACUGAGACAAAUGUUCCUGUUGCAUGUUUCACAGUAAUUUAAAAUCAAUCUUUAAAUUCUCACAUUGUACAGUGUACGUGAGGAUUCUGUCUUCUUCCUCCAUCUUUUCCUAAUCCCUGUUAAAAGAAGAAGAGAGGUUGAGUGUCCUGGUAGCUUGUAAUUUCUUCACUCUAACUCAGGCAGAGGCAUUCCAAACUUAAGUCCAGUCUGAGCAACUGUGUGAGACAGAGUUUCUAUGAUAAAUGAGUGACCCACUGAAAGAGUAAAUGAAUACAUUUUAAAAUAAGGUUGGGAACACAGCUAAACACAUGCCAUGAGUUUAGUUCCCAGUACCACAAAGAGUAAUAUGAAUGGAGAUGCAAAGAGUUUCCCAGAAUAGAGACACGGAAGCAUUCACUAUCCAGUGUUAUAUUUUGUUACCAAUUCCACACUGUGUAUCCUAAGCACAUCUCUGUGCUUCCAGAUAAUCACUGGGGAGACUGAGGCAGAAAACUGAUGAUCAAGGAAUCCAAAGCCAGCAAGGUAUAUUCAAGGAUAUUCA